rnacentral:rRNA from 1 species
UAUGUGAUCGUCUCUCGCAUAUCAAUAAGCGGAGGAAAAGAAACUAACAAGGAUUCCCCUAGUAACGGCGAGUGAAGCGGGAAGAGCUCAAAUUUGAAAUCUUAAAGGGUUUCCCUUUACGAAUUGUAGUUUAAAGAAGUGUUUUCUGUUGAGGUUUUGGUAAAAGUUCUUUGGAAUAGGACAUCAUAGAGGGUGAGAAUCCCGUAUUUGACCUUUACUUUCAACUUUGUGACUACACUUUCAAAGAGUCGGAUUGUUUGGGAAUGCAGUCCAAAAUGGGUGGUAAAUUUCAUCUAAAGCUAAAUAUUGGCGAGAGACCGAUAACGAACAAGUACCGUGAGGGAAAGAUGAAAAGAACUUUGAAAAGAGAGUUAAACAGUACGUGAAAUUGUCAAAAGGGAAGCGUUUGACACCAGUGUUGUUUUUCUGAAAAUCAAUUAAAGAACUGUUUAUGCUAAGCUGUUUAGACUUUAUCAGCUAAUCUGUUUAGUUUUGAGCUUUUCUUUAAUGCACUUUUCAGUUAACAAGUCAACAUCAAUUUCUUUUGCUGUAAAAAAGCUUGAGGAAGGUGGCUUGAGAUUCGUCUUAAGUGUUUAUAGCCUCUUGCCUAUGCAGUCGGAGAGAUUGAGGUCUGCAGCGUAGAUCCUUCGGGGCUAAAUGCAUUUGUGCUAAGUUAUAGCAUUUUAUAGACAACUUGUUGACUAUGAUUUGUCUUGUAGCUUACUCGCUUAUGUUAUUUUACCUACGCUUAGGAUGUUGAUAUGCAUGACUGAUAU